CGACUAUAUGACUAACAAAAACAUGACGCUACGCCUCAAUGCUACAACGUCAGACAAUAAAGCAGUUCUCCUGGCAACGCCUAUCAAUGUCUCGGAAGUCUACAAAUUGACUGACGAGCAAAAAAAACAAAAUGUAACACCCGAGGAGAAAAGUGAUUGGCUCAACGGAACAUACCCAAUUUUAAAUGCCACGGAGGAUUGCUUCACUUUAGAGCAC
rnacentral:lncRNA from 1 species